rnacentral:rRNA from 1 species
UAGUUGCCAGCGCGUAAUGGCGGGGACUCUAGCGAGACUGCCGGUGUCAAACCGGAGGAAGGUGGGGAUGACGUCAAGUCCGCAUGGCCUUUAUGCCCAGGGCUGCACACGUGCUACAAUGGCCGGUACAGAACGACGCAAUACCGCAAGGUGGAGCAAAUCGCAAAAGCCGGCCCCAGUUCGGAUUGGAGGCUGCAACUCGCCUCCAUGAAGUUGGAAUCGCUAGUAAUCGUGGAUCAGCUACGCCACGGUGAAUACGUUCCUGAGCCUUGUACACACCGCCCGUCAAGUCAUGGAAGCUGGCAGCGCCCGAAGUCGCCACGAUUCAGUGGUGCCCACGGUGAGGCUGGUGACUGGGACUAAGUCGUAACAAGGUAGCCGUAGGGGAACCUGCGGCUGGAUCACCUCCUUUCUAAGG